rnacentral:rRNA from 1 species
AUUGAACGCUGGCGGCAGGCCUAACACAUGCGAGUCGAACGGUAACAGGAAGCAGCUUGCUGCUUUGCUGACGAGUGGCGGACGGGUGAGUAAUGUCUGGGAAACUGCCUGAUGGAGGGGGAUAACUACUGGAAACGGUAGCUAAUACCGCAUAACGUCGCAAGACCAAAGAGGGGGACCUUAGGGCCUCUUGCCAUCGGAUGUGCCCAGAUGGGAUUAGCUAGUAGGUGGGGUAACGGCUCACCUAGGCGACGAUCCCUAGCUGGUCUGAGAGGAUGACCAGCCACACUGGAACUGAGACACGGUCCAGACUCCUACGGGAGGCAGCAGUGGGGAAUAUUGCACAAUGGGCGCAAGCCUGAUGCAGCCAUGCCGCGUGUAUGAAGAAGGCCUUCGGGUUGUAAAGUACUUUCAGCGGGGAGGAAGGGAGUAAAGUUAAUACCUUUGCUCAUUGACGUUACCCGCAGAAGAAGCACCGGCUAACUCCGUG